rnacentral:rRNA from 1 species
UACGUAGGGUGCAAGCGUUAAUCGGAAUUACUGGGCGUAAAGCGUGCGCAGGCGGUUUUGUAAGUCUGUCGUGAAAUCCCCGGGCUCAACCUGGGAAUUGCGAUGGAGACUGCAAGGCUAGAAUCUGGCAGAGGGGGGUAGAAUUCCACGUGUAGCAGUGAAAUGCGUAGAGAUGUGGAGGAACACCGAUGGCGAAGGCAGCCCCCUGGGUCAAGAUUGACGCUCAUGCACGAAAGCGUGGGGAGCAAACGAGGAUUACG